GCGACCUCAAUUUGAGUAAGAGUACCCGCUGAACUUAAGCAUAUCAGUAAGCGGAG
rnacentral:rRNA from 1 species